rnacentral:tRNA from 1 species
GGAGAUGCGUGCGUCGCUGGUGGGCGCCCCGGUCUUCAAAACCGGUGUGGGGGAUGAGAAAUCUCCCGGGUGGGUUCGAUUCCCAUGCAUCUCC